rnacentral:rRNA from 1 species
UCAAGCUAAUAAGAGCGCAAGGGGAAUGCCUUGGCAUCAGGAGCCGACGAAGGACGUGACAAGCUGCGAUAAGCUGCGGUGAGCUGCACAUAAGCUUUGACCCGCAGAUUUCCGAAUGGGGAAACCCGGCAGAGCAAUACUCUGUCAGCGUGCGUUGAAUCAAAUAGGCGUACGCGGGGAACCGCCUGAACUGAAACAUCUAAGUAGGGCGAGGAAGAGAAAUCAACCGAGAUUCCGCUAGUAGUGGCGAGCGAACGCGGAAGAGGCCAAACCGGAGGUAGCAAUAUUUCCGGGGUUAGGACUGCAAUAUGUAACUUUAAUCUUUAACUGAAUGCUUUGGGAAGAGCAGCGAUACAGGGUGAUAGCCCCGUAAGUGAAAAGGAUUGAGUGCUAGCAGUAUCCAGAGUACCAGCGGACACGUGAAACCCGCUGGGAAGAUGGGGGGACCAUCCUCCAAGCCUAAAUACUACUCAGUGACCGAUAGUGGAGCAGUACCGUGAGGGAAAGGUGAAAAGUACCCCGGGAGGGGAGUGAAAAAGAACCUGAAACCUUGUGCCUACAAGCACCGAGAGUCCGUUAAUGGAUGAUCGGGUACUUUUUGUAGAACGGUCCGGCGAGUUAAUAUUUGCAGCGAGGUUAAGGAACUGGAGUUCCGGAGCCGCAGCGAGAGCGAGUCUGAAUAGGGCGUAUGAAGUUGCAGGUAUUAGACCCGAAACCGGGUGACCUAUCCAUGAGCAGGCUGAAGCGGUGGUAAGACACCGUGGAGGGCCGCACCCACGUCUGUUGAAAAAGCCGGGGAUGACUUGUGGAUAGCGGAGAAAUUCCAAUCGAACUCGGAGAUAGCUGGUUCUCCCCGAAAUAGCUUUAGGGCUAGCGUUAUUUUAGAUUACCGGAGGUAAAGCACUGAAUGGUCUAGGGGCCGCGAGGUUACCAAAGCCUAUCAAACUCUGAAUGCCGGAUAAUUGAUGAAUAGCAGUCAGACUGUGUGAGAUAAGUCUCAUAGUCAAAAGGGAAACAGCCCAGAUCUACAGCUAAGGUCCCAAAUGAACACUAAGUGGAAAAUGAUGUGAAACUGCGAAGACAACCAGGAUGUUGGCUUAGAAGCAGCCACUCAUUCAAAGAGUGCGUAAUAGCUCACUGGUCGAGUGGUUUUGCGCAGAAAAUGUAACGGGGCUAAGUGUUCAACCGAAGCUUAGGCAUUGCAGCAAUGCAUUGGGUAGGGGAGCGUCGUAUGCGGGGUGAAGUCAGAGCGGAAGCACUGGUGGACUGCAUACGAGUGAGAAUGCCGGAAUAAGUAGCGAGAAUUAUGUGAGAAUCAUAAUGGCCGAAAAUCUAAGGUUUCUUGGGGAAGGUUCGUCCGCCCAAGGUUAGUCGGGAGCUAAGCUCAGGCCGAAAGGCGUAGGCGAUGCACAUACGGUAGAAAUUCCGUAACCACCGAACAUUUAAGCUAGAGGGACGCUUUCUUUAAGGUUAUCCCGGGCGAUGGUUGCCCCGGGCGUAAGGGACCGAAAUAUAGUAGGGAAGUAACUGGCGAGAGAGACGAGAAAAGCUCUAGUGUAUACUAAGGUGCCCGUACCGCAAACCGACACAGGUAGAUGGGAUGAGUAUUCUAAGGCCAACGGGAGAAGGGUUGUUAAGGAACUCGGCAAAUUGGCCCCGUAACUUCGGGAUAAGGGGCGCCUGCGAGAGCAGGCCGCAGUGAAAAGGCCCAAGCGACUGUUUAGCAAAAACACAGCUCUCUGCUAAAUCGAAAGAUGACGUAUAGGGGGUGACGCCUGCCCGGUGCUGGAAGGUUAAGGGGAGUGCUUAGCGCAAGCGAAGGUGCGAACUUAAGCCCCAGUAAACGGCGGCCGUAACUAUAACGGUCCUAAGGUAGCGAAAUUCCUUGUCAGGUAAGUUCUGACCCGC